rnacentral:rRNA from 1 species
GUGAGGAAUAUUGGUCAAUGGACGGAAGUCUGAACCAGCCAAGUAGCGUGCAGGAUGACGGCCCUAUGGGUUGUAAACUGCUUUUAUGCGGGGGUAAAGUGAGUGACGUGUCAUUCAUUGCAAGUACCGCAAGAAUAAGGACCGGCUAAUUCCGUGCCAGCAGCCGCGGUAAUACGGAAGGUCCUGGUGUUAUCCGGAUUUAUUGGGUUUAAAGGGAGCGUAGGCCGUCAGGCAAGCGUGUUGUGAAAUGUCGUGGCUCAACCAUGGACGUGCAGCGCGAACUGCCCGACUUGAGUGCGCAGAAAGCAGGCGGAAUUUGUGGUGUAGCGGUGAAAUGCUUAGAUAUCACGAAGAACCCCGAUUGCGAAGGCAGCCUGCUGUAGCGCUACUGACGCUGAAGCUCGAAAGUGCGGGUAUCGAACAGGAUUAGAAACCCGGGUAGUCC